rnacentral:rRNA from 1 species
AACUGAAGAGUUUGAUCAUGGCUCAGAUUGAACGCUGGCGGCAGGCUUAACACAUGCAAGUCGAGCGGGGGAAGGUAGCUUGCUACCGGACCUAGCGGCGGACGGGUGAGUAAUGCUUAGGAAUCUGCCUAUUAGUGGGGGACAACAUCUCGAAAGGGAUGCUAAUACCGCAUACGUCCUACGGGAGAAAGCAGGGGAUCUUCGGACCUUGCGCUAAUAGAUGAGCCUAAGUCGGAUUAGCUAGUUGGUGGGGUAAAGGCCUACCAAGGCGACGAUCUGUAGCGGGUCUGAGAGGAUGAUCCGCCACACUGGGACUGAGACACGGCCCAGACUCCUACGGGAGGCAGCAGUGGGGAAUAUUGGACAAUGGGGGGAACCCUGAUCCAGCCAUGCCGCGUGUGUGAAGAAGGCCUUAUGGUUGUAAAGCACUUUAAGCGAGGAGGAGGCUACUUUAGUUAAUACCUAGAGAUAGUGGACGUUACUCGCAGAAUAAGCACCGGCUAACUCUGUGCCAGCAGCCGCGGUAAUACAGAGGGUGCGAGCGUUAAUCGGAUUUACUGGGCGUAAAGCGUGCGUAGGCGGCUUAUUAAGUCGGAUGUGAAAUCCCCGAGCUUAACUUGGGAAUUGCAUUCGAUACUGGUGAGC